AGAUUAAGUUAUUAAGGGCGCACGGUGGAUGCCUUGGCACUAGAAGCCGAUGAAGGACGUUACUAACGACGAUAUGCUUUGGGGAGCUGUAAGUAAGCUUUGAUCCAGAGAUUUCCGAAUGGGGAAACCCAGCAUGAGUUAUGUCAUGUUAUCGAUAUGUGAAUACAUAGCAUAUCAGAAGGCACACCCGGAGAACUGAAACAUCUUAGUACCCGGAGGAAGAGAAAGAAAAUUCGAUUCCCUUAGUAGCGGCGAGCGAAACGGGAAGAGCCCAAACCAACAAGCUUGCUUGUUGGGGUUGUAGGACACUCUAUACGGAGUUACAAAGGACGACAUUAGACGAAUCAUCUGGAAAGAUGAAUCAAAGAAGGUAAUAAUCCUGUAGUCGAAAAUGUUGUCUCUCUUGAGUGGAUCCUGAGUACGACGGAGCACGUGAAAUUCCGUCGGAAUCUGGGAGGACCAUCUCCUAAGGCUAAAUACUCUCUAGUGACCGAUAGUGAACCAGUACCGUGAGGGAAAGGUGAAAAGCACCCCGGAAGGGGAGUGAAAUAGAACCUGAAACCGUGUGCUUACAAGUAGUCAGAGCCCGUUAAUGGGUGAUGGCGUGCCUUUUGUAGAAUGAACCGGCGAGUUACGAUUUGAUGCAAGGUUAAGCAGUAAAUGUGGAGCCGUAGCGAAAGCGAGUCUGAAUAGGGCGUUUAGUAUUUGGUCGUAGACCCGAAACCAGGUGAUCUACCCUUGGUCAGGUUGAAGUUCAGGUAACACUGAAUGGAGGACCGAACCGACUUACGUUGAAAAGUGAGCGGAUGAACUGAGGGUAGCGGAGAAAUUCCAAUCGAACCUGGAGAUAGCUGGUUCUCUCCGAAAUAGCUUUAGGGCUAGCCUCAAGUGAUGAUUAUUGGAGGUAGAGCACUGUUUGGACGAGGGGCCCCUCUCGGGUUACCGAAUUCAGACAAACUCCGAAUGCCAAUUAAUUUAACUUGGGAGUCAGAACAUGGGUGAUAAGGUCCGUGUUCGAAAGGGAAACAGCCCAGACCACCAGCUAAGGUCCCAAAAUAUAUGUUAAGUGGAAAAGGAUGUGGCGUUGCCCAGACAACUAGGAUGUUGGCUUAGAAGCAGCCAUCAUUUAAAGAGUGCGUAAUAGCUCACUAGUCGAGUGACACUGCGCCGAAAAUGUACCGGGGCUAAACAUAUUACCGAAGCUGUGGAUUGUCCUUUGGACAAUGGUAGGAGAGCGUUCUAAGGGCGUUGAAGCAUGAUCGUAAGGACAUGUGGAGCGCUUAGAAGUGAGAAUGCCGGUGUGAGUAGCGAAAGACGGGUGAGAAUCCCGUCCACCGAUUGACUAAGGUUUCCAGAGGAAGGCUCGUCCGCUCUGGGUUAGUCGGGUCCUAAGCUGAGGCCGACAGGCGUAGGCGAUGGAUAACAGGUUGAUAUUCCUGUACCACCUAUAAUCGUUUUAAUCGAUGGGGGGACGCAGUAGGAUAGGCGAAGCGUGCGAUUGGAUUGCACGUCUAAGCAGUAAGGCUGAGUAUUAGGCAAAUCCGGUACUCGUUAAGGCUGAGCUGUGAUGGGGAGAAGACAUUGUGUCUUCGAGUCGUUGAUUUCACACUGCCGAGAAAAGCCUCUAGAUAGAAAAUAGGUGCCCGUACCGCAAACCGACACAGGUAGUCAAGAUGAGAAUUCUAAGGUGAGCGAGCGAACUCUCGUUAAGGAACUCGGCAAAAUGACCCCGUAACUUCGGGAGAAGGGGUGCUCUUUAGGGUUAACGCCCAGAAGAGCCGCAGUGAAUAGGCCCAAGCGACUGUUUAUCAAAAACACAGGUCUCUGCUAAACCGUAAGGUGAUGUAUAGGGGCUGACGCCUGCCCGGUGCUGGAAGGUUAAGAGGAGUGGUUAGCUUCUGCGAAGCUACGAAUCGAAGCCCCAGUAAACGGCGGCCGUAACUAUAACGGUCCUAAGGUAGCGAAAUUCCUUGUCGGGUAAGUUCCGACCCGCACGAAAGGCGU
rnacentral:rRNA from 1 species